rnacentral:rRNA from 1 species
UUUGACCUCGGAUCAGGUAGGAAUACCCGCUGAACUUAAGCAUAUCAAUAAGCCGGAGGA